AUAUAAACCAGGGGCCGCCAGCCAGUUCCUUGCAUCACACAGCAUUCAUCCUCUCUGCAGCUGCGUUCCUACUUCUUAAGUUCUUAGCCGCUCGCUCUUGACGAUCUUCUGAAGCGGCACGAGUCCAUCGACCGGAAAGGCAGUAGUUCGCUCGAUCUUCAGAUCAGAUGGCUGCUACGGCUACGGGAGCGGAGACCGUCAGGCCGGUUUUCCUCACCACGGAUCACGAGGACCAGCGGGCGGUGGAUCCGGUGAUCUGGGGCGACGAGGAGCGGAUGAAGAGGGAGCUCAUGGCGUGGGCCAAGGCCGUGGCGUCCAUGGCUCUGGACGUCGUCUCGUCGCCCGCACCGCCUCCUUCCGUGGGACAGGGGAGCCGCCUCCAGCCUUUCUGUAGAUCUCUUUGUGAUUAAUCGCUUGCCAAAAGGGCUACAAACCUACAGGAGUUUUUAGGCCUCUGCUUAUGAUUAUUGUUGGAGUUGGUGAACUAAACUGAACUUAUGACGGAAGCGUGAAAUACUACUCAUUCUGUUCCAUAAAUAUUGGUACGGUUUUGAACGGGAGUACUAUUGUACUGAA